rnacentral:Y_RNA from 1 species
GGCUGGUCCAAAGGUAGUGAGUUAUCUCACUGGAUUGUUCACAGUUACAGAUUGAACUCCUUGUUCUACUUCCCCCGCUUCUCACUACUGCACUUGACUAGUCUAAA